UACGUAGGGUGCGAGCGUUGUCCGGAAUUACUGGGCGUAAAGCGCGUGUAGGCGGCUAAGUAAGUCGGGCGUGAAAUCCCACGGCUCAACCGUGGAAGUGCACUCGAAACUGCAUAGCUAGAGUCCUGGAGAGGAAGGUGGAAUGCUUGGUGUAGAGGUGAAAUUCGUAGAUAUCAAGCGGAACACCGGUGGCGAAGGCGGCCUUCUGGACAGUGACUGACGCUGAGACGCGAAAGCGUGGGGAGCAAACAGG
rnacentral:rRNA from 1 species